AGUUUUUCAGUUGCUUUUUUAAAGAAGGAAGGCUCAUGGUGCAAAUUGUUAUUUCCAGUACGGGGGCUGAAGGCCUGGCAGAAUGGGUGCUGAUGGAGCUACAGGGGGAGAUCGAGGCUCGCUACAGCACCGGAUUAGCUGGAAACCUCCUGGGAGACCUACAUUACACCACUGAGAUUGACACUGCAGAGUAAGAUGAGCUGUAAAGAGCCCGCAAUUACACACGUCAGUUUCUCCUUAGAGCAAAGCAACUCAGUGCAAUCAAGUGAAAAUGAGGUGAUUCCAGAAAGAGGACAACUGCACAGCUCCUGCUCAUGGUUACCACUCACUCUGCAAUCAUUAUGAAGGGCCUCCGUGGUACCCAGGCCGGGUACUAAAGAGAUGGACGGUCCAUGA
rnacentral:lncRNA from 1 species